rnacentral:ncRNA from 1 species
UAAAAUGCGUUGAAGAGAAGAGUAACAGGAUAAGAACUAUACAGCGAAUCUUGCCAUGGUGAAAAAAGAUUAGGGAAUGUCCUGAGAAGAUGGUCUUGGAGCUACUUUUUUCGAUAUGGUAGAAAAAAGCGUAAAUGCUGCGUUACAGGCAGGAGCAUAGGUAUGCUUCAUGAGGUCACUGAAGAACAGUGAUGAAAUUAGGUGGUAACACGAUAAACUUUCGUCCUAAGG